GACUUUCGAAUUCGAAAAUUGUACUAUUCUUGCUCGAUCGAUAGCUAGUGGAAUUGUGUGUGAACAUUGGCAGAGAGAAAUUUGCAUAAUUUCAUUAUUGAUCGCGUCACAAUAUGAAUCUGUUUUUGAUUGUUUUCUUUUCUUUUACGAUUAAUUGAUUAUUGUAUUAUUAAUAGGAAUUUUUGUGAAAAAGAUGAUAACGUUGCUGGUAAAUUUUUGAGGAACAGUUGCUAGUAAAUUUCUAGAGAAUUGAUUCUCGGUGAAUUUUAAACUGUUGUCAUUGAAUUGAGAGAGUAUCAAGUGUCAGUGAAUAUUCAAAAAAUUGAAAUUUUAUAUUUGAAAAGAAAGAAAAAUGAUUUAUUUUAAACUUUAUUUAUAUAUAAUAUUUUUAAUUAACAUAACAAAAAUAAUAACGGUAUCUAUAAAACGAUCACAAUGAUCAUGAUCGAUGUAUUUUUCCACGUUUCCAUUACAAAGUUAGGUUAAAAGCCGGUAUAUUAAUUUCUAUUCUCUUGGCAAUUAUAAGCGGUGAACUUAAGCACUACGUGAUUAAUGCACAUGUUAAACAAAAUCACAUUUUUUAAUGUUGACUAGAUGAUAUGUCUGGAAAAUAUUCCAUCCUACGACAAAAUGAUUUUCGACAUUACGGUUUAGAUGUCUAGUUCCAACAAGAAAGAAUGGAAAAUGAAACGUUGAAAAGGAUCUAUUCGCAACAGGGAGGCGAGUUACGAUCAAUUGAUUCGUGUCGUCGAAUUAAUCGGUAAACGAACGAUAAAAGGCUUAUCUAAAAUUGCGAAUGAAAUCAGAUUAACGAGCUCUGCGGGAGACAUUGCGAUCAGUCCGCAGUUAGAUUAAAUCGGCUAGACAUCCAUUACUGGCGCGUCACGAGAAAAGGGGUGAGAAACGGAAAGGAGAAGAGGAGACGAUCCGUCUCGACGGCUUUAAACGGAUAGGAAGUUCGAAGCGGAUAGACUUUGGGAGAAGACACACGCAUUUCUAGGAAAAAAUAUAAAGCACUAAGUCACCGAUGACCCAAUAAUCUCUACAUCGUCUUAAUCGCUAUGGACAUUUUAAAUUCUUAUAUCUCUACAACCGAUUAAGAUAUCGAGAUGAAACAAAAAAAGACUUCAAUGGCACCGUUUCUUCUAUUUUCUCAGAUGCGAUGCGAAUAGGAUAUCAUUAAUGGAUCAUCGAGGGUGUGUCGGACGUUCGUAAGAAGGACGACAACCGGCGACAAACGGCCGUGCGCGAUGGAUACGCGUGAGGACGCGAUUAAUGGAUGUUAAGUGCGUUAUAAUGAUGUCGCCGUCGGGCAAAUUCGAGUCUCGUAAAAUAGCUUGUCGGAGAUUCGUGGAUUCUCCACGCGUAUUCUGCCGAGGUCUCGACCAAUAAUUCAAUGACGAUUGAUCCGUGCGUCCCAUCGAUGCCGCCAGAAAAUCUAAUACGCCAGUCAAUCUUUCGCCCUCGGAGAUUGAUGAACUGGGAUUUAUCUUUGUUCGCAGUGAAUCCGAAUAUAUUAUCUCCAAACCUAUUUACGGAAUUAUUCAGUAAUAAAAUUACUGAAUAAUAAAAAAUAAUAAUAAUUCGAGGUUUAAAAUGUGUUUGAAAAUGAGUUAUUAAUAAAUAUGUAAAAAAAAAAAAAAAUAAAAUAUCAAAUAUUCAAUAUUCGAAUUUCUGUCAAUUAAAAAAAAUUAAUUUAAUUUAAAUCGAAUCUUCUUAAUCAAUAAUAUUUUUUGUAAUAAGAAAAGUUUUUUUUUAAAAUAUAAAAUCAAAUGUGCUUAAUUGGAAUACUUUGCACGUACAACGAGAACAUGUAUUUACAUGUGAUUGAACACAAUGAUUUCAGAAAAGAGAUAAACGAAUGUUGUUAACGCGUGUUCUACACGAGGGUUACGAUAAUUUACCAGAGUCUCUUUCGUCAUUAUGAUAAUCAAAUAGGAGUGAACAUGUCCCACUAAUUAAAUUGCCAACACGCGUAAGAUGCACUUGGAUAUCGGUCAUCGAUUAUCCGUGUACCGCGCAAUUAAUCUCGCACCAUUAUUAAUUCCUUCGUAGCCAAUGACCCCCUCUUCUAUGACAUCUUACAUAACUUAAUCUGACAGUUCUAUUCCUUAUAGAUUUAAUAGACUAACGAAUAUAAUUUUCAUAUCAAAAAUUAAUAAAAUAUAUUUUUGUCAUAUUUUUAAAAAGAGUAAAAUUGAUUAAAGAAAAGAAAAGGAAGAAAUAUAAAUAUAAAUGUUAAAAAUAAUAUAUAUUAGAUUGGUAUUAAUAGUUCUUCAAAGCUUUUCUUGGUACAUAUAAGAAAUCCUGAAAACAUACUUGGUGUUCUAUAUUCCUCAAAAUAAGAUUCAGUAAUAUUCUUCUUUUGUGAUAAGUUCUUUAAUAUUUUUCCUUAUCAAUUUCUUUAAUAUCUAAUAUAUAAUAUUCAUAUUAUACAAAUCCCAUGACACAUCCCAUUCUUUUUCAUUAUUUUUCUUUCUUCUCCUAUUUCAAUUUCCUCAAAGCAAUAACCUUGAUAUUUUUCAUCUAUAAUAAAAUAAACUCUUCUACAAAUUUUCUUCUCACAGCUAUAUAUUUAAACUAAUAUUUAUAUUUUUAUAUUUUCAGAUUUUCUCCAAAAGUCAUCACCACACACGUUACCUUUUUCUUUUUCUCUUUUUCCUUUUUAUACUUUUUUCUCCCUUUCUAUAUUUUUGCUUCCCCCCCUUUCUUUCUUUCUUUCUUCCUUUCUUCCUUCCCCUUCAAUCUCCAACUUCCCCUCCUCCUUCCUUUAACCCCUUUGCUCGCUGCUUAAAUGCAAGCAUCACUUGCACGCGGCACGAGUCAAACAGACGCGUUUUACGCGUAAUUUAACCCAAGCCUCGUGAAAACGGCCGACGACGACACACAACCGUGUUUCCACGCCCUUUGUACGCCCUCCGCUGCUCUGGACGUCGACGCGACUUUGACUCCACGGAGGCGGACACGUAGACAUCCCCUUAUCCCCUUUGGAGCCAACAAAGCCACGAGAUCCAUAGGACUUCGGCCUGGAUAUACACGUAUCUGCGAGCUCUGAUGGCUAGAGUCACGCGCCUCGAAUAAAAUACUAUCCCGUCGAGACCGUUACUUCUACCGCGUAACGUUUUCCGCUUGUGUGUCCUUCCACCAUGUUUUAUUUAUAAAGACCGCGAGGAUUUUUCUCGAAGAUCGGGAAGACGCCGAAUGGAAUGAGACUUAAGCUUGAUUUGCUGGAAAUCGAGGUCUGGAAAUAGAGGAAUUUUACGCUCGGCGGAUUUUUCGCGUGGUAAUAAUAGAAGAAACGAGGAGUGUGUCCUAACCUCAAAAUUGACAGAUUCAAAAUUAUGGGAAACAUUGAAAAAUUCAUUUUUGGGAUAUUGUUUUGCAACGAAUAACGAUGAAUCGAAAAUAAUAAGUCAUGUUCAUGGAACUGUUUGAUGAUAAGAAGAAAUAAACGCAAAGGAAAGAUGGAAUAAACAUAAAUUGUCGAAUAAUAGGAGUGAUUGAUCGAAUAAAAAAUCUUUUACUUUCUUCCUCUGUUUCUCUUAUAUUACAAAAUUCUUUCCUUCGUGAAAAAUUCACGAAAUCGCCUGGAAGUUUCAAUCGACUGUUUCUCAAUUCUUUAAGAACAGCGUCGACAAAGAAAAUAUCUAAAUUUAUUGCAACAAGAACUAUUUAGAAUCAAAAUGAAACAGAAUAUUCGAUCAUCAAAAGUCUUUGAAGAAAAUAAUCAGAUAUUUUCCUCCACGAAGUUAAUCAUAAAAAUUUCGCAAAAAUUUCAAAUCGAAUAUCAUUUCUAUUAAGUAGAUAUAAUUCGUCUUCAUUUCAGAACGGGUUAAUGUUCCUUUCUUGAUUCCAACAAGGUAUCCGGGACAGAUGUUUGCCAUCAAUCAAGGUGUAUGUAACGAUUAAUCCAUCACGUAUAUCAUCGCACUGCGAGAAUUGUCGGGAAGAUUAUAAGAGACUUCUAUCAUGACACACGCUUGAGACACAACUGCGAAGAUCAAAUUACCUCAUCUUUCACGUAUAUCUCACGUUAUUUCUUAUAAUGGCGAUGAUAAAAUUGGAAAAUUGAACAAUUUCGAAGAAGGUUAAACGCUUUAAAAAGUUAAAAAAGAUUUAAGAAAUUUAUUUUUAUAUCUUUUAAAAAUUUGAUAGAUGAUGUAAAUAUUGAAAGUUGUAUUAAGAACGCAUUAAAAAAGCGAGAUAAAAAUAAUCCAUGGAGCAUAGUGUUGCUCAAACUAUACAAUCUUCAACUAUCAUCUAUAAUAUCUUAUCAAGAGUUAUAGAAAAUCAAAGAGUUACAACAAUUUCUAGAAACUUUUGACAAAUAAUUGGAAAUAAAUUGAGGCAACGAUAUCUCUCGAGAUAAAAUUUACUGUGGACGAACUAAAGAAGGAAAUAUAAAAGAACGGAAGUUUGAUCGUGUCGCUUAAUUAAAAAUCAAGAUCGUGUGAAACGAUAUUCCUUUCGGAAUACUUGGCGCGAAUUGCGAACUUUUUAUGGCUCGUGAAAAUGAAACUAAGUUUUUUUAUAUCGAAAUGAAGAUAUGCCUUCGUAAACUUGGCCAAUCGCGACAAAAAGAUUUAAAUAUUCAUGGAAAAAAAAAAGAAAUCAUAAACUCAAAGAAAAAGAUAAGUAUCGUUAUUUCAUACUUGUUAAAAUUAAUUUCUCGAUAUUGUUUAUAGGAUGAUUUGAUGGACAAUUAUGCAUUUUAACACAUUCAAUAUCAUACCAAAAAUCUAAUGAAAUUCAGAACAAACAUGUUACAUAAUAUAUACAACAAUACUUGUACCAUGCAAAAGAAAAUGAAGAAUUCAUGCCAAGAAAGUAGAAAAUCUUGGAAACAAAAAAAAAUAUGCCCAAAACGUUCAAUCUCUAACAAACAUCGUAUUUGAUACGAUAUAUCAACUGUUCCAAUACUCAUACUACGUAUUUCAAGAAGUAUUUUCCUUUUUAAAAAAGUAGAGCCACUUGAACCUCCUUUCCGCACAAAGUAACUCGUUUCGAGUUGUUGGCAAAUUGAAAUCGAUCGAAUCCUCCCCCUUUUCUCCCGGUAUUCCUUUUUACACCACACUCUGAUUCAAUUUCGAGAACAGAUGCAAUCGCUUAGAAGAAGAGACGGGACCAGGGAAUGGGGCUGAGAAGCGGAGCAAGGAGUGGAAACUAUUUUUCCGGAUGAAUCACGAGCAUGGAGGUUAGACGCUCUCUGGUGUAAACCAUUAACGCUCGAUUAGAAACGUAUCUUUCGUAAAAUUAUCCUUUCCGGUCUUGACUUUGGUGUACCGCCUCCGGAUGAGCUGUUUGGCUCUGUUGGAUACUUCUUGCCCAUUCUUUUUCUCAUCCGGAUACUUUUAUUCGUUCAAGGAUGCGUCACAAAUCUUAGAAAAGAAUAAGAUUUUCAUCAUUGGAAAAUUAUUGAAACAGAAAGUUAAUAAUAAUAUUUAAAAUUAUCAUUUGAGUAUUGAUAAUAUAAAAGAAAGAAGAAACUUUUCAUGAAAUUCUAUGUUAUUAUUUAAGAUUUGGAACUGAUAAUUAGAAGGUGAAUUCAUGGAUUAGCUUCAAUAAUCUUAAUCUUUAAGCCUAAUGAGUGAUUGAUCGAAUUGGCAGAGUUAGAAGGCUAAGUUUUGCUUCCAAAUAGUGUUCACGGAUAAUCCAUGAGAUCCUUAAAUUCUAAAUGUAUUUAUCACAUGCUCGAGUAAAUCGUUUUUCACAUCUCAUCGCAAAUUGAUUGAACUCUAAAAUGCUUAUAAGAAGAAAAAAUAAUGAAUCAUCGUACUCGAAAAUGAAAAACCAGAAUAUAACAUAAAAUAUUUAAGUGAGAUAUUUACAUUUACAAAAUUUUUAAAACGGGAUUAUAGUAAUUUCAACUAAUAAAUUGGAAUAAUUACAUAUUCCAUAUUAUUAUAAUAUUCACGGCUGAAGAAGAAUCCAUGAAAGGAUUAAAACAUACAGAUCACCGAUGGAGAAACGAUUGUUUGAAUCUAAUUUCUCAUAAAUCUAUCGCAAAAACCUCGUCACAAAUCAAAUCAUUCAAAUCUCCUUUUAAGCUUUUUAAGCAAGAAAACCAUUCCAAUAAUCAAACGCACUUUUCCAUCAAAGCAAAGGCCAUGUGUCCAUUGACCAAUAUCGAAAUCUAUCCCUAAAUUCAACUAGGUUUCCAGGCCAGGCGUAAUUCCGGCCUUCGGUAUAAUGAGAGUGGCCGUAAUUUCGGAGGGUAAGCCGGCUUUCCAUUUGCCAGGAACUCACUCUCUACCCACAAUCUCCUUCGGCCACGGUAUCUCGCUGUCCGUUACGAUUCGAAGAAAGGAACAGUGGAUGGAACCGAACGCGAGUGAUAUCCAGAGACUAUUGAAUGACCUUAAUCCAAUUUCGAUUGGACCUUCAACUAAGGUCCACGAAAUCAGCUGCUGUCUCACACAAGUGGAUGAAAUUUGAGAUAAUGUGGCUCUGCCUAUGAUGAAAUAUGAUUGCAAUUUUAUAUUCUAGUUUUUCUAUCUUCUAAUAAGUAUAUUCUAUUCUUCUAGGAAUAUAUUAACAGGAAUAUUAUACAGGAGUAUAGUAUACCAUUGUAUCGAGAUCUUUGUGCCUAUUACAAGAAUCCUAUAAAUAUAUUAACAUUAUUAGAUAGAAAUAUGUGAUAUGUAUUGAGUAUAGUAUGUAAAAAUUGAAGAAAAAACGAGUUAAUCAAAUCCAUGUCUUUCAAGUCCAUAAGAUAAAAUUCUAUCCUUUAUGAUACUCUUUAAUUUUCUUAUUCGUUUUUAUUUAUAAUUGGCAUGGAAAUUCGAUAUUACAAUGUUAUAUAAUAUUAUAAUGCUACAUUUUAAUAUAGUGUAUCUAGUUUUCUAGGUAAGGUAUCUAGUAUUUAAUAAAAAACAUAUAGAAUUGGACAUACAAAAAUAUUCUUUGAGAUAUAUUUAUUAAAUUAUAAUCAAAGUUAAUAAAAAAAAACUAAAAUAUUAAUAUGCAAAAAUCUAGAAAAAUGCAUACGAUAUGCAAAAAGGACAUAAAUUGUAUCCAAAACAAGUUACAGAUUAUAAUAAUUAAAGAAACGGAUCUUCA